GAAUUCCAUGACCCAGUUUACAGUAAAUUGGAAGUAGACAGAAGGUGUAUUAGUCUGACCACAAAGAUGGAAAAGAAAAUCUAUCAAAAAAGAGACAGACUACUCAGUCAGAUAAUGAGGCCCUUCAAGUUAUAAAUAAGCUUUCCUGCUUAUAUCAGGACACCUUCAUCCUAUUAUUGUAUUAUAGCAUAGUACAAUUAUAUUUGGUCACAAUACUGACAAUGAGUCAUCCACAGCAUCAUCACCCAGCAUUUAUUGAUGUCUACUGUAAAGUAGAGUUGGAUGGCACCAUUUCUGCUCUCAAACAGUUUAAAAGAUCCCUGUGCAGAAAAAGACGUAUUUAGAACAUUUUGGUUGGUAAGGUGAUAUGUAACAAACUUGAGAUCUUAUAGGAUAGGAGAACACUAGGACACUAAUUAGGAACUGGUCCCAGGAACAAAGACCUUCUGGACUCAUCUGACAAGAUAAGAAUCAUCAAGCAUUCUUCCAGCAGAAAGUGACAAAGCCCUCCUUGAGCUGCUCAUGAGAAUUCACAAAUUUUUCAGAUAAAAGAUGCCUAUUUUAUUCUGGCUGAAAGCAUGAACAGAAUAAACAAUGAGCUCUGUGAAGAAUGUUCUAUGAACCCGAAUCAAACUCAAACUCCUGUGUCACUCCGGUACGCCUGAUCACUGGAUAUAACCACGUAUUGGUCCAGAACCUCCCUCUCUGUUACUACUCCCUUUGGAUUUAUCCAGUAGUCUUAGACGUCACCAGGGCCAAGCCAUGCAUAUAUAGAUUGAAAUGUUGUUUUCAAAACCUACUCAAGCUAUCUCUUGAUGAACAAGAUUAGUACCAUCUGAUUACAACCCUGAAGAGUCUAGAUUCCUUAUUCUGCAAAAUGGAUUUAUUGUAUCUCAAGGCACUGUGAAGUUUGCAGUAGCAUGUAUAGGCAAAAAGGAAAGUCCAAAGAGAGGAAAAGAAAGCAGGAGAGAUCUGAAAUGACACAAGAAGUGACUCAGAAUGGGAAGAUUGUGCACUCCUUGUUGUCCCCUAAUGCACAUGGAAGUAUGCAACAGAAGCUGUGAAAAUAACCCAGAGAGAAAGAAAAAAAUGAUGUAAAUUUAAACAUAGCAUAUUCUGGAAACAGUAUGCUUAUGGAACAGCCAGAGAGAUUUUCAAAACUUGAUCAUCUAAAUGCAGAGAACAGUUUCAAGGCUCUUUCUCACUUUCUCAUUUGAUUCCUGCAAUUGAAGCCAUCUGCUAUGCUGUGUCCUGUUCUUUGGAUCAGCACAUAUGACAAGGAAGUGAAAGUAGUCUCUGUCCAACAAUCAGUCUAACAGCCUGAGAAGAACUGAAUUCUGUCAAUGACCACGUAAGCUUCGAAGCAGACCUUUCGCUUGUUGAGCCUUCAGAUAGACAGCAGCCCUAGCUGACAUCUUAACUGCAGUCUUGUGACAGGUCCUCAGACAGGAUAAGCCAAAUUAUACCCAGACUGCUGAUCCACAGAAAAUGAGAGAGCCAGACAAUUAUGCAUUUCUUUAGUCAACAACUAGCUGCUAAUUAUUUACUAUGUGUCAAGUCUUAUAAUGCUGAAGUGAAGAAAAGAGAUUUAAAGUCAUGGAUGUGGUUUCCUUUGGACCUUAAAUUCUAGCACAAAAUAUGAUAAACAUUGUAAUCAAUGCUAUCAUGUACAGGUAUGUGGUGUUAUGUGAAUAUAUGGGAAUACCUAAUUCGUAAACUGGGUUUAGAAAAUUCUUGCAGAAGAAAGUGGCAUCCAAACAAAGAACCAAGAACGAAUAAAAAUUAUUAUAGAUAAAGUGAAGCGGGUCUAGUGGAAUGACAAAAUUACUGAGUGUCAAGAGGUGGAAGGACUUGGUGAAUAAUUUGAAAAGGAACCAUCGGAGGAUGAUGGCCACAUUUCUGGCUCCAGCCAUCAGUAUGAACUUAUGGUUGAAGGCAUUCUCAGGGGUUAACAAGAAUUCUGGACAGAAAUAUGGCUAUAAGUAAGUAUUAAUCAGGCUGCACUUUGACCCACUUCCUUGUAACUGAAAGUCACUAGAUCCUGAAUAUUUGUAUCCCCAUUCCCACUGUUCUUAUAGAUAGAAUCUCUGACAUCAGAAUCAUAAGGCUUUUCUUUAAGAAUUGCUUAAAGAUGUUCUUCGGAUCCCCAAUUCCAGUGAAACAGCUGAUGACAACCAUUUUGAAGACCCCCACAGAGGAACAGAAUCAACAUGAGAUGGUUUCUUCCUCUCCCCAUCCUAUGACUUCCCCCUGUACUCUUCCACCAAUUAACAAUCUCCACACUUUGACCCACUCCAAAACCCUUAAAAACCCAGCCCCAAACUACCUGGGGAGAUGGAUUUGAGGUUCCUUCCCAUCUUCUCCUUCGAUGGCCCAACCAUUAAACCUCUUUCUCUGCUGUAACCUCGUGUCUCAGCAUAUUGACUUUUUGCACAUAUUGGGCAAAAAAAACCUAUUAUGGUUACUUGAUUGUGAUAACAUCAAAAGUACACUGAAUUUGGAGUCAGGAGACCUGAAUUCUAAUCCUAGCUUUGACAUUAAUUAGCUACGUGGAUAUAGGUAACUCACUUCACUUCUGAAGGCCUCAAAGCCCUCCAAGGAUUUUGAGAUAGGCAAUUUUUCCCUCAACUUAGCAUUAUCAUUUCAUGGUUUUAUGAUGCAACUUUUACAGCAUCACAAUGUUCCAUUAAUAAAAUUAUAUUGGUUUUUCCAUAUUUUUAAAUCUAAACCUUCAAAUAACUAUUUGUUUUCAUUUUUUUCUGGUGUGUUGCCUUUGUCUUUCCCCUUUAUUCUUUCAUGUUUUGCUUACCUAAGGAAAAGCUUACAAGAAGGAGCUGUGUCAACAGUAGUUGGUAUGGAUCCACACUAACUUUUAUUUGGGGUUUUAACUAAGAGAACUUAAUGUAUGACUUAUUGUAAAAUUAUAAAAAUCAAAUCAAGUUUUAUAACAACAGCCAUAGAAUGGUCUUUUUUUUUGCAAAACCAAAGAUACAUAUACAUAAAUGAAUAUGAUUUAUGUAGAAAAUGAUAUUAAAGGAUACAUACAAAAUUAUUGAGAAGCAAUUAGCCCUGGAAGAGAAAAAUCUGAGCUAGAGGGGUAGUGAGGCUAAAAUUUGUACUAUAAACUGUCCUAUAUUAUUUAAUUUGGUAUAACAAGAGUGUAUUAUUCUUAUAAUAGGAAUAUUACUUUAAACAUUUUUAUUAACUGAUAUUUAUUUUAUGUAUAUAAGGUUUUUUUUCAAUGUGGCUUUGUAAUCUACCACAUACUGGACUUAAAGUUAUAAACAGGAGAGAUGACUGAAGUGGAGGAAGGUUCAUUAGCCUCACACAGGAAAUGCCUUGAAGUAGACCGUGGGUGAAUCUGUUUAAGCUGUGACCCAAGCAGAAAUACUUUCUUCUCAAAGUGAUUUGAAACUAUUAUUCUCAUUGAAUCUAUGAUAAGAAAACUAAUUAUGAUAACAGACAUACGGUUGGAAGAGGAAACACAGGUAGAGCUGUCUUUACAUUAGAGAAAGAACUGAGAGAGCUAGGCAAAAGCCAUCAUUGGGGGUAACAGAACACAGCAGGGGGAAGCAUUCUGCAGAGCAUAUUGGAACAAAGCAAGUCUCUCCAAAAAAAUCUAAAGAAAAUAUUUUCAGAAAGUGCACAAGGCAAAGACUAAUGGCUCCCUGCAGAUAUUCAUAAGGAUAUAAGAAAGAAGAGGCUUUCCAAGAAAAUAUAACAUAUUUCAACAACAACAAAAGACUGGGCUAGAUUUGAGACACACUAAGAGUCAUUAACAACUAGAAGUUCUUAUCAUAACACUAUCUAUACUGUUUACAAUUGUGUCACUUUAUGCUUAUAUAAAGUAUAAAGAGACCACUUUACAGAAUAUGGGUUCAGUCAUUGUCAGGGUAUCAGAGUAUCUUUUGUUUUCCUUUAUUAUAUUGUAAGGACAACAUAAAGUAACCCAAAGAGAAAGGAGAGAACAGCUUAACCUCUCUAAACACUGCACAUUUUGGAAGUCUAAUCCCCUCUCCCUGUCCCAAAUCCUCUCAUUAUAUCUAAGCCCAGUGGAAGUAUGCUGGUCCUCACAGGCUGGCAGUUUUCUCAACCUGCAAUUAGAGUGUUUAGCUCUUUUUGCCAGCUACAGCUUUAGUCAUCAAUUCCAGGAAACCCUGACACCAAUUCACUGAAUAUCUAAACAUACAUUACCUACUUGAUCAUCUAUAUUCCCAGAUGCAAUGAACAUAUUUUCUUGUUAUCUUUUUAAGUCUUCUAAGUUAUAUUGUGCACAAUUUAAAUACACUUGCCUUAGUUUCUGAGACAGCCGUUUCUCGGUUUUCUAUCUUUCCCAGUUAUUUCUUGCCAAUCUCCUUUGUUAGCUCCUCCUCUUCAACAUGAAUUCUAAAUGUGUUUGCUUCUAUAUCAUAUUUUCUGCUCUAAUAUACCCUGUCUAUAUGUUAUUACAUCCUAAGAAAAAAACAAUUCCUAUCAUAGGUCAAACUUAUGCUCUAAAUUCCAAAAUCAUAUACCCAAUGGCUGAUAUAAUAUAACUAUGAAAUGAGCAAAUUCAAUAUCUAAAGGCCACUAAAUUGGAAUGAGACUUCUACCCGAAACAGAUUCCUCCAAGUCUUCCUUAAAUCCAUAAGUUACUUUCACACACACACAAUGCCCCAAAACAAGAAACCCCAAAGCCACAUUUGUUUCCCAAUUUCCUUCAAUCCCACAUUCAUUCCCAGCAAUUUCAGUCAAUUUUACCUCUAAAAUAUGUUUUGAAUUUGUUUACCUCUUCUGCAAUUCUCUAGUGCAUUACUAAUAUAAAUACAAUGCAAGCAACAUAUGUAAUUUUUAACUUGCUAGUAGUCAUAUUAAAAAUAAUUUGUGUAAGUCAA
rnacentral:lncRNA from 1 species